AUUGAACGCUGGCGGCAUGCUUUACACAUGCAAGUCGAACGGUAACAGGCCGCAAGGUGCUGACGAGUGGCGAACGGGUGAGUAAUGCAUCGGAACGUGCCCAGUCGUGGGGGAUAACUACUCGAAAGAGUAGCUAAUACCGCAUACGAUCUAUGGAUGAAAGCGGGGGACCGUAAGGCCUCGCGCGAUUGGAGCGGCCGAUGUCAGAUUAGGUAGUUGGUGGGGUAAAGGCUCACCAAGCCAACGAUCUGUAGCUGGUCUGAGAGGACGACCAGCCACACUGGGACUGAGACACGGCCCAGACUCCUACGGGAGGCAGCAGCGGGGAAUUUUGGACAAUGGGCGCAAGCCUGAUCCAGCAAUGCCGCGUGCAGGAAGAAGGCCUUCGGGUUGUAAACUGCUUUUGUACGGAACGAAACGGCUCUGGUUAAUACCCGGGGCUAAUGACGGUACCGUAAGAAUAAGCACCGGCUAACUACGUG
rnacentral:rRNA from 1 species